rnacentral:rRNA from 1 species
UUCCUGGGCUACGACACACGCUACAAUGGUCGGUACAAUAGGUUAGGCCAAGCCGCGAGGCGGAGCCAAUCCACAAACGACCGGCCUCAGUUCAGAUUGUAGGCUGCAACUCGCCUGCAUGAAGAUGGAGUUGCUAGUAACCGCAGGUCAGCAAUACUGCGGUGAAUACGUUCCCGGGUCUU